ACCAAAAAUGAACCAAACUCCAAACUAACAUCUGUGUAAAGCUCGACAGUGACGCCUCAGGACCUGGUCUCACCAGCAGGGGGCAGACUGACCACCAGCUGAUUAAGGCUCCACCAGGUCCACGUGGUCCACGAAGUCUCUCUUCCCCAGAUAGACGACUCAUGAAAGAGCCAGAAUGAACCCUUCAGAACAUGAAGAAGAAGAAGAGGAGGACUGACCUUUCCAUUGGGACUGGCUUUCUUAAACACUCUGAAAAAACACAAACACAGAGCAGCAGUCGGUGAAACAGCGUCUGAGUUGAUCUUUUAUGUAACUGAGUUUGUUGAACAGGGAUCAGACAGAUAAACAUGUCUGUCUCCUCUCUGGUUUUUAAGGGUUUUAGUUUCAGUUUCAGCCUUUAAAGAGUAAACGCUGAUAUUUAUUUUCUCCUUAUUUCCAGAUGUGAGUCCUGUUGUUACAUCACAGCAGCAGUUUGACAGUUUUACUGUGUUUUAUUCUUCCAUUAUUGAAGUUUAUCUUUAUUCCGGCACAUUUGACAUGUUGUCAAAACAUGUUUCCAAAAACAGUCUUUGCUUUGCAAAAAUGUUGUAAUUUUAUAAAAAUGUCCUCACAUCAUAGAAAUCAUUGUCCACGAUGGCGCCAUCAU